rnacentral:lncRNA from 1 species
UGAUGUUGAUAUUUUCAUAAUACACAUAAUAUACUUUGACCAUACUAAUCUCCAUUACCCUCUUUUUUUUAUUUAAUUUUUAUUUAUAUGAGCACACUGCUGCUUCAGACACACCAGAAGAGGGCAUCGGAUCUCAUUACAGAUGGUUGUGAGCCACCAUGUGGUUUCUGGGAAUUGAACUCAGGACCUCUUAAAGAAAGAGCAGUCAGUUUUCUUAACCACUGAACCAUCUCUCCAGCUCUCUAUCACCCUCUUAGUUUUUACUCUUGUACUGCCAUUUUUCUUCCUUCUUUCUGCCUUUCCUUCUUCCUUCUCAUUCGCUCGCUCUCCCUUCCUUUCUUCCUUCCUUCCUUCCUUCCUUGGUGCUAGGAGUUGAACUGAAUCCAGGGCCUUGCACAUGCUGGGCAAGCACUCUACCACCAACUACAUCCUCAGCCUGGUUUACCACUUUAUAAAGCCAUGCCCCAUACUCACUGUUACUGGUCUUAUUUUUCUUAUGUAUACUGUUAACUUGAGGAUCUGCCAUUACCAUUAUCAGUAAAUCCUUAGUGAUUCUCAGACUUAAAGGUCAUGGACAUCUUCGUUCAAACAGAAUCUUUCUGCAGCUCAGUACAAAUGGACCAAAAGUCCGGAAGAGGUGGCAAGGGGAUGUCCUCUGAUUAAUGUGGGGCAGGGAUCACAGCCACUGAGGGUCUGCAUAGCUCUCCACCGCAUGGUUUAGCUCUGUGCUCUCUUCUGCUUGAGCCAGUGAUUCUACAGUUCUUUCUCCCUUUUUGGCUGCCAUUUUUCAAAGCCCUCUUUUUUUUUUUAUUUAUUUUUUUUUUUUAAAGAAAAAGAAUGCAGUGUUUUGGACUCGUCAUUCUAACCUUUACAAGCUGUACUUGCAUAUAUGUGUGUGUUUCAUAUUUUCAGUUUUUUUAUGAAAAGGUGGGUGGCAGGAAUGUUUUCCUUUAUUUUGUUUUUAACAUGGUAUGCAAUUAUCUAAUAUACUGGAAAGUACAGGAGGUGCUAAAUACAGUGUGUUAUAUUUGGAAUUUAAAAAAAAAACAGGAAUCACAUGUUCUAUCAUUUUUUUUAAAGGCGAUGAAUUAGUGCUCCUGCUUUUAUACCAAAUGCUACAGUAUAACUUUCCUUCUCACCUAUGGAAGUUGUCUCAGUUUAAAUUAAUGUAUUCUAUAGACCAAACAACAAUCUUUAUUUCUAUAUUUGCUUAUCAAGUAUAUUUAUAGGCUUUUGUAGAUAAUAGCUGUGGCUUAUGUAAGCUACAAUGCCAGUCCUGUUGAUGGCUGGUUGAGGUGAAUUUGCACAGCCUUGUUGCAUUUUUGUACAUGGUUUAAAUUGUUUGAAAAUAGGAAAUAUGUCUUUAAAUUCAUUUUAAAGAAAGAAAAUGUCAUGCUAGUUAGAUUAUUCUGGUUUUGUUCAACCAUGAUUAAACAUAGCUUACCAAAAGAAAAACCUCAAAAUAUUUUUUACUAUUAACUAAGGACUGAGUUUGUUGGUUUGUUUUUUAACUAUUGUGAAAGAACAGAGCGAGAGAUAACCUUUCUAUGGUUAAAGUUUUCAUCAGAUUUAUAAUAAAUUUUGGUUCUAUUAAUUUUUUAACAUAAACUUGGCAAAUGUUACUUCCUUGAGCCUUAGCGUUAUUCUCAGCAUUAUGUGCUGUCUUUGUUAUGCUUGGAAUUGGUAGGAUUUUCAAAACCCCCAAAUAUCUCAAAUUCUUGGAAUUUUUUGUUUUUGUUUUCUUUUUGUUUUUUUGUUUGGUUGGGGGCUUUGUUUGUUUGUUUUGAAGCAGAGUCUCUGUAUAACCCUGGCUGUCCUGGAACUCCCCUAUGAAAAAAGCCCUGGCUCUGAACUCAGAGAUCCUCCUGCCCGUUACUUCCUUUGUUGGGGUUAAAGUCAUGCUCCACUGUGCCACACCCUCGACUACUUUGUCGCCAGUGGCAGUUUUAAUUUGUGUAGUCUUGUAGCUGCUGAGAUUAAUAUGAACAAUACUAAGCUUAUCAUCUCAAAGUUUUAUCCAUAAUGUCCUCUGGCUCACCUGCUCUUUGACAUGUCACUGUCCAGCGGUCUGCUGAUGCCCUCAUUUUGUCACUGCUGCAGUUUGAGGCCGGGCUUCAUCGCUUACCUGUGGUGCUUCUGAUCCUCUUCUAGGAUAAACCUCACUGGCAAUUUUUAUAGAAACCCUGUGAGUUUAGUGAUAUUGUUUUAGAAGUAAGAUUUGGGCUCAAGGUCAGUAGAUUGGCUCGCCCUAGGACCUACAGCCAGACAGUAGAUCUUAAGAUCUUAUUUCAAAAUUCAGAUAAAAGAUAAAUAAAUGGAUCUUUGGGGGGAGGGAGAGAGAGAAUGAGAAUUUCUAGCUUUUGAAAAAGAACAGGAACUACCGAAUCAAACUUUCAUUUUCUGUUCCCUCUCUUAUACCUCAAAGCCUAAAUUUUUGUUCAGUGUGACAAACGUUUUCAAUCCGAAAGUGAUUUGGGCGAGUAAGUUCUCAUUCUGAAAGAGAGCGAUUGGGUGGCGGCACUGGACGACCUGUCUCUAGAUCGCUCUUCUGGGUUUCCCUUAGUCCUACUCUUGCCCUGUUUUCUUGGUCCUCCUGUUGACCCACAAGAAUGUGUUGAGUUGUGAGCUGGAAUUGGGGCAAGAAAGUGACCGGUUUCUAGAACCACUUAAAGCUACUGCUAUCAUUUGUUCAGUUCGGCUUUAGCUUUUAGCAUUUGUAUUGACAUUUGAAAUCAUUUCCUAUCUAGCUCUUCUCGGUCAUUAAAAAGUAAUAGCAGGUAACCCAUUUAAUAGUGUGUAGACUAUCGUCACCAAGAUCGCUCUGCAGUUUUGCUUCUUAACCAUGGUCUCCUCCUUUGUUAAACCAGAGGUAGAAUUCAUAAUUUGAGCUUAAAACCCUUACUUAGGGAUUCAGUAAAUGUGGCUCAAGGAUGCUUGAGGGGAGCUCCUGUUCGUACCUCUACAAAGUGCUAUGUAGAAAAGUUCCUUUCUGUAUGCAUAACCAGAAUGACAAACUGAAUGCCGAGAGAAUAAAUAAUCCUGUUGUCUUUUGUGAAACCAAACAUCAAAGGCUUUAUUUUAGCCCAUUUCUUUUCCUAGUUCUAAAGAGCAACUGACUGCAUAAAGAAAGGCCUGUUAGCCAACAGUUCAGCCCAUUUACAUAGGACAGACUUCUGCUGAAGGCCUCAGUAGAUGACAUCAUGGUACUGGUUGGCUAUAUGUGUCAUUGGGAGAUCACUUUGCC